GAUGAACGCUGGCGGCGUGCCUAAUACGUGCAAGUCGAGCGAACAGACGAGAGUGCUUGCACUCUCUGACGUUAGCGGCGGACGGGUGAGUAACACGUGGGUAACCUACCUAUAAGACUGGGAUAACUUCGGGAAACCGGAGCUAAUACCGGAUAAUAUUUAGCUUCGCAUGAAGCAAUAGUGAAAGACGGUUCUGCUGUCACUUAUAGAUGGACCCGCGGUGUAUUAGCUAGUUGGUGAGGUAACGGCUCACCAAGGCAACGAUACAUAGCCGACCUGAGAGGGUGAUCGGCCACACUGGGACUGAGACACGGCCCAGACUCCUACGGGAGGCAGCAGUAGGGAAUCUUCCGCAAUGGACGGAAGUCUGACGGAGCAAUGCCGCGUGAGUGAAGAAGGUUUUCGGAUCGUAAAACUCUGUUGUAAGGGAAGAACAAGUACGUUAGUAACUGAACGUACCUUGACGGUACCUUACCAGAAAGCCACGGCUAACUACGUG
rnacentral:rRNA from 1 species